GCUGUGAUGGCCGAGUGGUUAAAGCGUUGGACUUGAAAUCCAAUGGGGAUUCCCAACGUAGGUUCAAAAUCUGCUUGCAACG